GUGUCCCACCCCAUAGUGGCCUGUUUUCGCCACAGGAGUCUGAAAUUUGGCAUGGACGUUAGUCAUGACCGAAGGUAGAGCUGAGUAACUUUCAAGGCCGAUUGACCAAGAGGGGGCAUGGCAAUGGGCAUGGCCUAUCACCAAAAGGCGCAUAACUCCCGAAUAGUUUCACAGAUUUGCACACGACUUUGUGGAAAGGUUAGUCAUGAGCCAAAGAAGAGGUCACGUGUUUGUGUGAGGGUGUGUGCGUGCAUGCAUGCACGUGGGCGGUCGCAGCUAUUGCGGAUUCAGGCUUGUAUUCAUUAUAAGAUCUUCAGUCCAUCUGUCUUGGUCACUUUGUGCAGUUUCAGUUGAUUUGAUGCUUUUCAUCUCUAUCGUUCCAAUGAACAUGUCAUCACUGUCUUGACUGCUCCACUACAUGCAUUUUUCUGCGUCUAGGUUGGCUGUUUGCUCUGCACAUUUUCGCAAAAUGAUUUUUCUUUUCGCAUAUUCUGCACGUUUGACCAAAGGCUGGGCAUUUUCUUUGCUCAUGCUUAUAGCCACAUCUGUUACAGUCAACCGCUUUUCUUUCCCUGGGCAUUGGGUUUUCUUUUGUGUAACCGCCCUUUUUGCUUGCCCUGGCUGUGCCAAUUUUGUGCUUAUCAACUUCGUCACGAAACGCUUUCACCUGGCUAGACGUUAGUUCACUGAUACGACACACAUUGACUGCUUUUACAAGCGUGAGCUCAGCUUCUCUCAGCAGUCUGGCUCUAACCUGAUCGUCUCGUAUUCCACAGACAAUUCUGUCACGUAUCAGUGAAUCGUGUAGAUCACCAAAUUCACAGUCUUUCCCUUUAUUUUUUAGGUCCGUGACGUAGUCUGUCGUUUUGGAUUGACCUUGAGCACGGGUGAAAAACAUGCCGAAUAUAAGGCCCAGUGGAGAUGCAGCCAUGGAGGUAAAGCUCGUUGUGCUGGCCACAGUCAACAGGUUGCCUCUUUCCCCAUCUGAGCCUGUGGUGGCAGCAGGUUCUGAGGGAGAUGUGGAAUGCUGGCAGGUGUGUGUGAUUGGGCUAAUUGGCUUCAGGUCUAGGCUCAUGAAGUAAUAAAGGAGGUGGCUGGGGCAGUGGGGCUGUCUCCCUUGGUCUCCAGCAGCUGUGUUUUGUUGUUUUCAGUACAUUUUACCAUUACACAGUCCAUAUUGCACUACACUUUACUUUAGGACUCCAAUUACACUGAAACCUAUUAUUUUUCUGUUAAAUCACAUUUUCUUAAUAAAUACUUUUGUUUAAUGUUUGCCCUGUGUGGUCUCCCUUUUGUUGCAUUGCCAUGAGCCAGGCAAAUGUAACAUGUCUGAAAGUCCUUAUCCAAGGCCUCUCCAAACUCCUUCCAUGCCCCGGCUUUUG